rnacentral:misc_RNA from 1 species
CUUUUUUUUUAGGAAAAUAUAUUUUGAUUCUUGUUUAUGCUAAAUGCAGUAUAUUAUAUUUGUGGUGCUUGGCUUCUGUAGCUUUGUGCUUGAAUCAUAAGCAUCUAAUAUAUGCCUUGUCCUAGGGAACUUUGACAUUUUAUAUAUACAUCUAUAUCUGGAAAAUUUUGCAAUAUUUUCUUACAAAAUUAUGGAUCCAUUUUGCUUGAUGAGUCUGUCUUAGAAGAUGGAAUGG